UACGUAGGGUGCAAGCGUUGUCCGGAAUUAUUGGGCGUAAAGAGCUCGUAGGCGGUUUGUCGCGUCUGCUGUGAAAUCCCGAGGCUCAACCUCGGGCUUGCAGUGGGUACGGGCAGGCUAGAGUGCGGUAGGGGAGAUUGGAAUUCCUGGUGUAGCGGUGGAAUGCGCAGAUAUCAGGAGGAACACCGAUGGCGAAGGCAGAUCUCUGGGCCGUAACUGACGCUGAGGAGCGAAAGCAUGGGGAGCGAACAGG
rnacentral:rRNA from 1 species